AGGACGAACGCUGGCGGCGUGCUUAACACAUGCAAGUGGAGCGACGAACCAGGGCUUGCCCUGGGGCAGAGCCGCGAACGGGUGAGUAACACGUGGGUUACCUGCCUCGAUGACCGGGACAACCCGAGGAAACUCGGGCUAAUACCGGAUGUGCCCGUAAGGGGAAAGGAAGCUUCGGCCUCCGCAUCGAGAUGGGCCCGCGGCCCAUUAGCUUGUUGGUGAGGUAACGGCUCACCAAGGCUUCGAUGGGUAGCUGGUCUGAGAGGACGAUCAGCCACACUGGGACUGAGACACGGCCCAGACUCCUACGGGAGGCAGCAGUGGGGAAUCUUGCGCAAUGCGCGAAAGCGUGACGCAGCAACGCCGCGUGGGGGAAGAAGGCUUUCGGGUGUAAACCCCUUCAGUUGGGACGAAGCUUCGCCGGUGAAUAGCCGGCCGGAGUGACGGUACCUUCACAAGAGCACCGGCUAACUACGCGCAGCAGCCGCGGU
rnacentral:rRNA from 1 species